rnacentral:rRNA from 1 species
UAAAGCAAGAAAGGGCGUAUGGGGAAUGCCUAGGCACACUCCGGCGAAGAAGGACGCAGCAAACAGCGAAAUGCGACGGUGAGCGGUAAGCACGUGAAGAGCCGUCGAUAUCCGAAUGGGGGAACCCACACGGAGUCAUAUCCGUGUAUCACAUGUCGAAUACAUAGACAUGAUGAGGCGAGACGCAGGGAACUGAAACAUCUAAGUACCUGCAGGAAGAGAAAAUAAGAAUGAUUUUCUGAGUAGCGGCGAGCGAAAGGGAAAGAGCCCAAACCGAUCUGAGGAUCGGGGUAGUAGGAUCAUCGAGAAAUCUGACAGAGGAUCAUAGAGGAAUCACAUGGGAAGGUGAGCGAGAGAGGGUGAGAGCCCCGUACUCGAAAUGAGAGACUGGAGAGAGAUGACACCUGAGUAGGGCGGGACACGAGAAAUCCUGUCUGAAUCAGCCGGGACCAUCCGGCAAGGCUAAAUACGAGAGAGUGACCGAUAGUGAACCAGUACCGUGAGGGAAAGGUGAAAAGAACCCCGGGAGGGGAGUGAAAGAGAACCUGAAACCAUAUGCCUACAAGAAGUCAGAGCCCGUUAAAGGGUGAUGGCGUGCCUUUUGUAGAAUGAACCGGCGAGUUACUGUAUGGAGCGAGGUUAAGCAGGAUAUGCGGAGCCGAAGCGAAAGCGAGUCUUAAGAGGGCGCGAGUUGCAUGCAGUAGACCCGAAACCGGGUGAUCUAGCCAUGACCAGGUUGAAGUUGGGGUAAAACCCGAUGGAGGACCGAACCGACCCCCGUUGAAACGUUGGCGGAUGAGUUGUGGCUAGGGGUGAAAUUCCAAUCGAACCCGGAGAUAGCUGGUUCUCCCCGAAAUAGCUUUAGGGCUAGCGUCGGAAAGAACCUUAGUGAAGGUAGAGCACUGAAUGUGUGAUGGCCCCAUCCCGGGGUACUGAAUACAAUCAAACUGCGAAUGUCAUUAAGGAUGUCCGGCAGUCAGACUGUGAGUGAUAAGGUCCAUGGUCAAGAGGGAAACAGCCCAGACCGCCAGUUAAGGUCCCAAAAUACAGGCUAAGUGGAAAAGGAUGUGGGGAUGCCCAGACAACUAGGAGGUUGGCUCAGAAGCAGCCAUCCUUUAAAGAGUGCGUAACAGCUCACUAGUCGAAUGACUCUGCGCCGAUAAUUUACCGGGGCUAAGCAUACUACCGAAGCUAUGGAUCCCAAGGGAUGGUAGGGGAGCGUUCCAUGAACGGAGAAGUACGACCGAAAGGACGUGUGGAGAUCAUGGAAGAGAGAAUGCCGGUGUGAGUAGCGGAACGUGGGUGAGAAUCCCACGCACCGAAAACCCAAGGUUUCCAGAGGAAGGUUCGUCCGCUCUGGGUAAGUCGGGACCUAAGGCGAGGCCGAAAGGCGUAGUCGAUGGACAACAGGUAGAGAUUCCUGUACCCGUAUAUAUGUGAAGGAAUGACGGAGAGAGGAAGCUGCAGCCAGCGGCUGGAAGAGCUGGUGCAAGCGAGAUAUCGGGAUGGCAGGCAAAUCCACCAUCCGAAACGAGAAGGCGUGAAGCGUACGGAAAGCUACGGCGAGUACGGAAGGCAGUGGAGGAACUUCCAAGAAAAGUUUCUAACGUUAAGUAUAUAUGGCCCGUACCGAAAAUGGACACACAUGGGUGAGGAGAGAAUCCUAAGGUGAGCGAGAGAACUAUAGCUAAGGAACUCUGCAAAAUGACUCCGUAACUUAGGGAGAAGGAGUGCUCAUAGAGAUAUGAGCCGCAGUGAAACGGCCCAAGCGACUGUUUACCAAAAACACAGCUCUCUGCUAAGCCGCAAGGCGAAGUAUAGGGGGUGACGCCUGCCCGGUGCUGGAAGGUUAAGGGGAGGGGUUAACGCAAGUGAAGCCCUGAACUGAAGCCCCAGUAAACGGCGGCCGUAACUAUAACGGUCCUAAGGUAGCGAAAUUCCUUGUCAGGU